AGAGUUUGAUCCUGGCUCAGGACGAACGCUGGCGGCGUGCCUAACACAUGCAAGUCGAACGGAGAUAUGAUUUCGGUUGUAUCUUAGUGGCGAACGGGUGAGUAACGCGUGAGCAACCUGACCUUCAGAGGGGGAUAACAUUUGGAAACAGAUGCUAAUACCGCAUAAGACCACGACCCGACAUCGGGAUGAGGUCAAAGGAGCAAUCCGCUGAAGGAGGGGCUCGCGUCCCAUUAGAUAGAUGGCGGGGUAACGGCCCACCAUGUCGACGAUGGGUAGCCGAGCUGAGAGGCUGAUCGGCCACACUGGAACUGAGACACGGUCCAGACUCCUACGGGAGGCAGCAGUGGGGAAUAUUGGGCAAUGGGCGAAAGCCUGACCCAGCAACGCCGCGUGAGGGAAGAAGGCCUUCGGGUUGUAAACCUCUGUCCUUGGUGACGAAAAAAAUGACGGUAGCCAAGGAGGAAGCCCCGGCUAACUACGUGCCAGCAGCCGCGGUAAUACGUAGGGGGCGAGCGUUGUCCGGAAUUACUGGGCGUAAAGGGUGCGUAGGUGGCCUUUUAAGUUGGAUGUGAAAUACCCGGGCUUAACUUGGGGGGUGCAUCUAAUACUGGAGGGCUAGAGUGCAGGAGAGGGAAGCGGAAUUCCUAGUGUAGCGGUGAAAUGCGUAGAUAUUAGGAGGAACACCAGUGGCGAAGGCGGCUUUCUGGACUGUAACUGACACUGAGGCACGAAAGCGUGGGGAGCAAACAGGAUUAGAUACCCUGGUAGUCCACGCUGUAAACGAUGAAUACUAGGUGUAGGGGGUAUCAACUCCCCCUGUGCCGGAGCUAACGCAAUAAGUAUUCCGCCUGGGGAGUACGGCCGCAAGGUUGAAACUCAAAUGAAUUGACGG
rnacentral:rRNA from 1 species